AUGGUCAUAAGACAUUUUUCAUUUAUGUGCUUUGUGUGGCAAAAUAAGACUUCAUUUACGUAUUUUGUUAAAGAAACGUGUUAAUUAAGAGAUUUUUAUUCGUUUUUGCUCAGGUGGUUUUUAUUCCUUAGUGAUUGAAAAUAAACAUAACCUCAACACUGUUUACAUUCUAAUCAUUGCAAUAAAUUAACUCACCUGAGCCAAAACGAAUAAAAAUCUCUUAAUUGGCACGUUUCUUUAACUAAAUACCUAAAUGAAAAGUCUUCUUUUGUCACACAAACUACGUAAACAAUAAAUUAAAAAUUCCUUAUGAGUGUUUAACAUUACAAACAAAAUUGUUUGGAGCCAAAUAUAAGCUCCUCCCAAUUUUGUGACGUCAAGACUUAGGAAGUCCAUUACCUUCUUCUUUAUUUAUUAUGACAAGUGACAAGACAACAUAACCCAAAUAAUUUAAUCCAGCCCUAUUUCUAUUUUUGAACAAAAUGCUGGAAAUUGGAAAUAUCUUAGUUUAUUUUUAGUUCUAGCUUAUUUACGACUAGAUUGAAAAUCUGAAUUUUCUAAUAUUGGUUCAUGAUUAUCAUCAGGGACUUGAUUCGGUUCUUAAACAGAAUCAAUGGCUCUCUGAAAAUAUGAUACUCCAUUGGUCACCCCAAGAGGAAUACAACAAAAUUGGUAAAGGCAUCCACUUUCCUCAAAAGCUGUAAAUGGUUUGUCAUCACGCCCAGAUGGAUGACAUCACUAGUAUGUUGUAUACAGUAGAACCUCGAAAAUCCGAACUAAUUGGGGGGACAGCCUGUUCGGAUUCUGAAAAGUUCGGAUUAUCUGAAAGUCAGCCUAACUAGUAAUUCAAAGCUCUCCUGCAAAACGUGUAACCUGACUAUGAGAAAACCGAAGUAAAUUUAUGUUUAACCUUUAUAAGAGAUGUUCAGCAGACAUCAAGAAAUCAUUACUUUUCUAUUCACCCAUUAUUACCCAAAUGUAUACCUCAUUUUAACUACAAUUAUAACAAAGUACAUUCCUCAUUAAUAACCCGGCUAAAACUUACCCAUGGACUUUUUCCAGAGCAUCUACAUAGGAUUGGAAUCUAUGUCUGUUCCUGUAACCAUGAGUCCAUCGGGGAUCUGAACAUGUAUUCUUUGAUUGUCUUAAUCAUAGGGAUCAGACUCAAAACUUAUAUUUAGGUUUAAUUAACCUUAACAUUAGCCUUCCAGUUAGCAUCAGCAAUCUUUUAUCUUAUUCUGACAAAUCUAUAUUUAAUAUCUUAAUCAAGUUUAUAAAUGAUUCUAAGAUAAAAAUUUAAACAUAUCUAUAACAAAAAGACUCUUUGUCUAAUGCCAUCUCUUUGACACACACACACACACACACACACACACACACACACACACACACACACCCACACCCACACCCACACCCACACCCACACCCACACCCACACACACACACACACACACACACACACACACACACACACACACACACCCACACCCCACACCCCACACCCCACACCCACACCCACACACACACACCACACCCCACACCCCACACACCACACCCCACACACCACACACCACACACACACACCACACACAACCUUUAUAAUCAUUACAUAUAAAGUACCUACGUAUUUAUUUUUAAGAAAUUUUAAAUGUCAAAGUCCUACUAAUCCAAUAUUGUUCAAUUUUCUGGUUAUACUCUAUAUAAUAAACAUGUAUUUAAGUUUUUGUCUUAAAUUUUUAAAAAAAAUUCACUUUCCGUUAGUUUGGAUUUGCGGGGUUCUACUGUAUGUCAAAAAUAUAUAUGGGGGGGGGGGGUGGUCAAAAUAUAGUGAAUAACCCUGUACAUCAAGAAAUUUACUACCAACGCCUCUGUUACUGAAUAUAUCACUAAGUACAGGGCAACCUAUUUAAAACUUAAAAAAUCAGCUAAAAAAUUAUACUAUCAAAAUCAUCUGAGAAGCUUUAAAAGUGUUGCAAAGGAAAUUUGGUCCAUAAUAAACAAUCUUCGAAAUCAAACUCACACAGCUCAAACAUUUUCCCUUCCAGACCAUGAAUACUUUAUUAAUGUGAGUAAAAUUAUAACAUCAACUAUUUUGUCACAAGAGAUCAAUUUUGUUAAGAUCCGAUUUCCUAUCUCCCUAAUUCAAGAAAGGUCUCAAAUUCAUUAUUUAUAAGACUAGUUGAUUAAUCUGAACUGAUCCAAACAAUCAAUAGUAUCAAAAGCAAAUCUUCCUGUAGUACUGAUGGACUAUCCAUAAAAAUUGUCAUAAAAAUCUCCCAGAAAAUGUGUUGGGAGUCCUCAUCCCACUAACGACUCUUUUAAGGGGCUAUCCUAGUGUAAAAGAACGAAAUUCACAUACUUUUUUUGGGAAUAUCUAAAAUAAAAAGUACUGUACCAAUUGUUUUGAAAAUUUGCAUGACCAUUUAUUAUAAAAAGAAGUACAAGUAAAACAAUUUUCAUAAAAAAAAAAAAAUAAUGAAAAUUUAACGAUUUAUGCCCUAUCUACUGGCACAGUGAAAAUAAAAAACAUGGCUCCACUGCUGCAGUGAUUGGGACUAAUAGAGAUCCUGAAUUAUAAAAUUGCAGUGAUUAUUGAAAUAUAAGUAUUUCCUAUGUCCUAUACCAUCAAUUAGGAUUUUUGGAAAAAUGACAAAGUGUUGAAAUUUUUUUUAAAUUAGCUAGAACAUUUUCAGUUUCAAAAACCGCCAAAUUGACAUUUUUUAUCCGAUUAAAAAAAUCCCUAUUUGAUGGUAUAGAAAAUAACCUAUAUUUCAAUAAUAACUUUGAUAUUUUAUGUUUCAGGAUCUCUUUUAGUCCCAAUCACUGCAGCAGUGGAGCUAUGUUUUUAUUUCCACUGUGCCAGUAGAUGGCGAAUAAAUCGUUUAAUUUUCAAUAUUUUUUUAUGAAAAUUGUUUCACAUGUACUUCUUUUUAUAACAAAUGUUCAUGCAAAUUUUCAAAAUAAUUGGUACAGUAUUUUUUAUUUUAGAAAUUCCCAAAAAAGUAUAUGAAUUUCAUACUUUUACACUAGGAUAGCCCCUUAAGAAAGGUAAAUUUCUAGAGCUGCCUAAAGACAGCCAUCAUUAUUCCUCUUCAUAAGGGUGGUGAAAAAUCUAAUGCCUGCAAUUAUAGACCUAUUGCAUUACCACUGGUACUCUCAAAUAGGACUCAUAAUACACAAGUAUAAAAACUUGUUGCUGGUAUGAGCACAUUGUGUAAAUGUUAGGAUUUAAAGAGGAUGUAAAAACCUUCAAUACGAUUAUGAGCGUUAGUCUCUUUAUAUCCUAACAUUUUUUUGUUAUUGUUUUAGUUUAUUAUUGUUUUAUUGUGUUUAUUAUUGUUUUUUAUGACUCUUUGUAAGUUUUGUGUAUAAAUUGUACAAUUUUCCAUGACAAUAAAGCAUUUUUCUAUUUUAA
rnacentral:lncRNA from 1 species